rnacentral:misc_RNA from 1 species
UGCUGUUAACAGCCAAUGCAAGGCUUAUCUGAGUGCAAUCAUAGUUUAUCUUUAUGCUCAUGAUUUGAAGCAAGCCCAGAAAUGCUACAAUGAUUGUUCCCAGAUUGGUGCCUUUGUUAACAGUGACCAAUACCGUUCUGCAAGCAAGUUUCUAUCUGCUUAUCAAGAAGGUGAUGCUGAAGAAAUCAAACGCGUUGCACAGUCUAGCACCAUUUCAAAUCUGGAUCAUAUGAUUAUUAGAAUUGCGAGGAAAUUGCCGACAGGGGAUCUUGAGCAACUCAAACUAGAAGCGGACAAUGGAGAAGAACAGUUAGACGAGGAUGACCUCACUUAACCUCUGGGGUAAUGCUCUGAGAAAUGUAACCAGAAUAAGAAGUAUACAAUAUUGUGUUCGAUAUUAUUUGGGGAGUUGCCAAUCUAUACAAUACUUAAAUUUACAGAUGUUGUGAUACUGGUGUAUCUUGAAAUAUAUGUGGGAGCUUGUAUAGCA